rnacentral:rRNA from 1 species
UACGGGGGGGGCAAGCGUUGUUCGGAAUUACUGGGCGUAAAGGGCUCGUAGGCGGCCAACUAAGUCAGACGUGAAAUCCCUCGGCUUAACCGGGGAACUGCGUCUGAUACUGGAUGGCUUGAGUCUGGGAGAGGGAUGCGGAAUUCCAGGUGUAGCGGUGAAAUGCGUAGAUAUCUGGAGGAACACCGGUGGCGAAGGCGGCACCCUGGGCCGGCACUGACGCUGAUGAGCGAAAGCCAGGGGAGCAAACAGG